CCUACGGGUGGCAGCAGUGAGGAAUAUUGGUCAAUGGCCGGAAGGCUGAACCAGCCAUGCCGCGUGAAGGUCAGUGCCCUAUGGGCGUUAAACUUCUUUUGUGCGGGAGCAAUAAUGGUCACGUGUGGCCAGACGAGAGUACCGUACGCAUAAGCAUCGGCUAACUCCGUGCCAGCAGCCGCGGUAAUACGGGGGAUGCAAGCGUUAUCCGGAUUUAUUGGGUUUAAAGGGUGCGUAGGCUGUGAGGUAAGUCAGCGGUGAAAUGCCCCCGCUCAACGGGGUGAAGUGCCAUUGAUACUGGCUGGCUGGAAUGCGGAUGCCGUGGGAGGAAUGUGUGGUGUAGCGGUGAAAUGCAUAGAGAUCACACAGAACACCGAUUGCGAAGGCAUCUCACGAAUCCGCGAUUGACGCUGAUGCACGAAAGCGUGGGUAUCAAACAGGAUUAGAUACCCGGGUAGUC
rnacentral:rRNA from 1 species